ACCACGGCCCUCUUUAGGGCCACCUUAAUUUGUAGCAGGUGGAUG
rfam:Hymenolepis diminuta genome assembly, scaffold: HDID_scaffold0001755